rnacentral:tRNA from 1 species
GGUUUAGUUGUUUUAUAACUGCAAAUUAUAAAUUGAUUUUUAAUCCUAAGCUU